UUUCAAAAUUUUGAUGGCCACCAGGUAG
rnacentral:piRNA from 1 species